rnacentral:rRNA from 1 species
AUGCACGACGGUGUUGGUCGACGGCGACGAUGCCUUUUUGUUGCUGCAACCAUAUUGGAGUUUGCUGGAAUCGGCGCGCAAAUUUGCUACCAUCGCUUUGCUGGAAGGAACCGCCUAAAAUGCUUCCACGCCCACAGGAUUUGGUUUUUGCUGGAACCCUCUCCAAAGAAUUCUACCACCGGCCUUUUUGUCUACGAGCCAUGUCGUUGUCUUCCAUUUGAUGCUGCCACCGGGAGUGGGUGUGCGGUUUGGCAUCCAUUGUGCGACAAGCUACAACCGAGGGUCCACAACAAUUUUUGUUACAACUGUCAUCGAUGUUUGCUACAACUGACUACGGAAUUUGCUGUGACGACAUUGGCCAGGCCUUUGCGACCAGCAAGGUGUCUUCCUCCGCAUGGCGACAGUGAGCCCGGGUUGGCCGGCGAGUGCACGGCGGCCGAGGGCGAGCGUGGCGGGCAUGCUCCCUUUGUGAUUUUUCAUACGGAAAGGAUACGUCAGGGAGUAAAGAGAGAUGCAUCAAUAAAGGAGCAAAUGGCUAUUGGUUUUAAGUACAUAAUUGUUGGUUACUCGUGCUUCUUUGUGUUAUAUAGGUACGUCGAUAAACAUGGGUAUGCGAUUGAGAGGUUCAUUAGGAUUAAGCAUGUUGGUGAUACAAGAGCGGCUUCUCUAAAAGCAGCUUUGGAUGAAAAUUUAACACAAAGAACCACAGCAGGUGGCUUGAUAUCUCAUAUGGAAAGUUUUGAAUUUGUUUUCAUAUUGCAUCUUAUGAUCAAACUAUUGGGCAAGACUACUGAGUUGUCACAAUGUUUGCAAAGGAAGGAUCAAAACAUUGUUCUAGCAGAGAGUUUGAUUGGGACCACACUGUGGCAACUUCAAAAUACAAGAGAAAAUGGUUGGGAACAGCUCUUGAAGGACACAACUGACUUUUGUGUUAAACAUAGCAUUAUAUUGCCUAACGUGGAUGAUACAAUACCCGCUCGUGGUCGUUCAAGGGGGCGUGGGGGUCAAAUGUUAAAUAACCGCUUUGCUGAAAGAUCUACUCAAUUGUUGAGAUGCAUUGCUUGUCUUGAUCCAAGGAACUCAUUUGCUAAUUUUGAUGAAGACAAACUUGUUCAACUUGCUGAGAUAUGGUUCACAUUGAUAGACACAUGGUUUUUUCUUUGGUAUCGUCUUACUGAGUUGGCAUUAAUUUUGCAUGUUGCAACCCCAUCAGUGGAAAGAGCUUUCUCGGCUAUGAGUAUUAUCAAGACUGAGUUGAGGAAUAAGAUGGGUGAUGAUUGGUUGAAUUAUUCCAUGUUGUGCAAUAUUGAACGAGAAAUAUUUGCAAAGGUUGUUGAUGAUGAUGAUGCUAUUAUAUAUCGCUUUCAAUCCUAUAAAACUCGCGAAGGAAUUCUACCUCCUCGUAGUAUUAUUUUUCGUGCACAAGAGCACGUGCUCCCAGGUAGACCUGUGCAUGAGCAGCCCGGCCCAAAGGCCCGAGCCCGGCAUCCGGGCCAGGCCCGGGCUCCAUUUUUCCGCCCGAAGCCCGGCCUGAAAUCCUGA